AGGGGCUUAGGAUAACACCUAUAGACCAUGGGCCUUCAAAGCCCCAAGCGGGAGUGAAAAUCUCCCAGCCCCUG
rnacentral:tRNA from 1 species